rnacentral:rRNA from 1 species
UGGGGAAUAUUGCACAAUGGAGGGAACUCUGAUGCAGCGACGCCGCGUGAGUGAUGAAGGAAUUCGUUUCGUAAAACUCUGUUCUAUGGGAAGAAAAGGACUGUACCAUAGGAGAAAGCUCCGGCUCAAUACGUGCCAGCAGCCGCGGUAAUACGUAUGGAGCGAGCGUUGUCCGGAAUUAUUGGGCGUAAAGGGUGCGCAGGCGGCUUUACAAGUUGGAUGUGAAAUAUUGUGGCUCAACCACAAACGUGCAUCCAAAACUGCAAAGCUUGAGUUAAGGAGAGGUAAGUGGAAUUCCUGGUGUAGCGGUGGAAUGCGUAGAUAUCAGGAGGAAUACCGGUGGCGAAGGCGACUUACUGGACUUAAACUGACGCUCAGGCACGAAAGCGUGGGGAGCAAACAGG